rnacentral:rRNA from 1 species
UACGUAGGGGGCAAGCGUUGUCCGGAAUCAUUGGGCGUAAAGAGCGUGUAGGCGGUUCGGUAAGUCGGCUGUGAAAGUCCAGGGCUCAACCCUGGGAUGCCGGUCGAUACUGCCGGACUAGAGUUCGGAAGAAGCGAGUGGAAUUCCCGGUGUAGCGGUGAAAUGCGCAGAUAUCGGGAGGAACACCUAUGGCGAAGGCAGCUCGCUGGGACGUUACUGACGCUGAGACGCGAAAGCGUGGGGAGCAAACAGG